rnacentral:rRNA from 1 species
AUUGAACGCUGGCGGCAUGCUUUACACAUGCAAGUCGAACGGUAACAGGCCUUCGGGUGCUGACGAGUGGCGCACGGGCGAGUAAUGCAUCGGAACGUACCCAGAGGUGGGGGAUAACGCAGCGAAAGCUGUGCUAAUACCGCAUGUGAUCUGAGGAUGAAAGCGGGGGACCGAGCAGCAAUGUUUGGCCUCGCGCCUUUGGAGCGGCCGAUGUCGGAUUAGCUAGUUGGUGGGGUAAAGGCCUACCAAGGCGACGAUCCGUAGCUGGUCUGAGAGGACGACCAGCCACACUGGGACUGAGACACGGCCCAGACUCCUACGGGAGGCAGCAGUGGGGAAUUUUGGACAAUGGGCGCAAGCCUGAUCCAGCAAUGCCGCGUGCGGGAAGAAGGCCUUCGGGUUGUAAACCGCUUUUGGCAGGAACGAAACGGUGUCCGCUAAUACCGGGCGCUAAUGACGGUACCUGCAGAAUAAGCACCGGCUAACUACGUG